GACGAACGCUGGCGGCGUGCUUAACACAUGCAAGUCGAACGAUGAAGCCUAGCUUGCUCGGCGGUUUAGUGGCGAACGGGUGAGUAAUACGCGCGUAACUUACCUUUAACUAUGGGAUAAGUCAGGUAAACUGGGCCUAAUACAGGCUACGACCUAUCUUCGCCCGGGGUGUUGGUGGAAGACGUACGGUCGUGGUUAUAGCUGGGCUCACGGCCUAUCUGCUUUAUGUAGAAGUAACGGCACCCGAAGGCGAAGGCGGGUAGGCGACCCUGGAGGGGGACCGCGCACACGGGUACUGAGAGACGGCGCAGACUCCAACGGGAGGCAACGGUCGGGAAUAUUGCGGAAUGGGCGCGAGCCUGAUGCGGCGGCGCCGCGUGAGGAAUGACGGCCUUCUGGUUAUAAACCUCUGUUUGCAGAGAAGAAGACAGAUUGACGGUACCUGCAGAGAAAGCGCCGGCUAACUACGUG
rnacentral:rRNA from 1 species